rnacentral:rRNA from 1 species
UACGUAGGGUGCGAGCGUUGUCCGGAAUUAUUGGGCGUAAAGGGCUCGUAGGCGGCCAACUAAGUCAGACGUGAAAUCCCUCGGCUUAACCGGGGAACUGCGUCUGAUACUGGAUGGCUUGAGUUUGGGAGAGGGAUGCGGAAUUCCAGGUGUAGCGGUGAAAUGUGUAGAGAUCGGGAGGAACACCGGUGGCGAAGGCGGGUCUCUGGGCGAUGCUCCUGACGCUGAGGCGCGAAAG